rnacentral:rRNA from 1 species
GACGAACCGUGCGAACGUUGUUCGGAAUCACUGGGCUUAAAGGGCGCGUAGGCGGCCGGGUUGGUCGUGGGUGAAAUCCCCCAGCUUAACUGGGGAACUGCCUACGAUACUGCCUGGCUCGAGGGAGGAAGGGGCGGUCGGAACUGUCGGUGGAGCGAUGAAAUGCGUUGAUAUCGACAGGAACGCCGGUGGCGAAAGCGGACCGCUGGCCCUCUUCUGACGCUGAGGCGCGAAAGCCAGGGGAGCGAACGGG